GUUAGAUUAAGAAACUACAGGAUUUCAGCUCCCAUGGUGGGAGGAUGAAUGGAGUCAAGUGCAGAGAGGGCCAGCAUAAACUUGAAGUCCAUGUCUAGAGAUAUUUUCACAUCCAAAAGUACCAGAGGUGUGCUGGACCCUCACCAGUCAUUUCCUUGGACUCAGGAGUAUAUUGUCACUGAGGGAAGAGGAAACUUACCUAAUUUCCACCACUGGAUGGUGGUCUAAGUGACUGAUGGAUUGGAAGUUAUGUUUUUUGUAGGUAGGCUGCAGUCAACAACUCCAGUGCAGAAUGGACCCUGAAGAGGAAUUCAAGCACCAACAGAGCCUAUGCAACCACAUCUUGUAUAUAAUUCAUCCGCAUGGUCACAGAUAGAAAGUGAAGAUCAACCACAAUGACUUCAAAUGGGACUCCAUUCUGCAGAUGCUUAUCUUCAGAUCUCAGCCUUGACAUGAUUUGCAAUAGUGCAGACAAAGACUAUAUUUAAACAAUUUUAGAGUUAUGGAGGUUUGCCAAGUCGUAUGGAGGUUGAAAAAGAAGAACUGAGUUCCCUGACCUGGGUUAUCCUUCUUUCUGAAAGAAAUUUCUAGGAAAAAAAUGGAGAAAAGAACCUGGAAAGUCAGAAAGAGAAGCAUGAAUAUGCUGCUUCAAAUGUUCUAACCACAGUGCUGAUGUGUAGAUGAAGAUCUGGGUUUUAAUUUUCUGUCACCUUCAUCUGGGAUAAAAAAAUAUGACAUCUAAAGUAGCCUGCAGUCAACAACUCCAGUGCAGAAUGGACCCUGAAGAGGAAUUCAAGCACCAACAGAGCCUAUGCAACCACAUCUUGUAUAUAAUUCAUCUGCAUGGUCACAAAUAGAAAGUGAAGAUCAACCACAAUGACUUCAAAUGGGACUCUAUUCUGCAGAUGCUUAUCUUCAGAUCUCAGCCUGGACAUGAUUUGCAAUAGUGCAGACAAAGACUAUAUUUAAACAAUUUUAGAGUUAUGGAGGUUUGCUGUGACGUAUGGAGGUUGAUAAAGCAGAACUGAGUUCCCUGACCUGGGUGAUACUUCUUUCUGAAAGAAAUUUCUAAGAAAAAAAUGGAGAAAAGAACCUGGUCACACAGGCCAGAAGACUCUGAAGGACUCCCAAGACUGCUGGUUAAUUCUAGCCUGAUUCUCAGCAAAGUCACAAUAUUCAGACUUCCAAUUAAGAAACAUGGGUGGUUUUAACACCACCUUCUGAAGAUUAUACCUAUAUAACAUGUCUGCAGAGACCUCAGAAAGAUAAACAUGAAUAUGCUGCCUCAAAUCUUUUCACCACAGUGCUGAUGUGUAGAUGAAGAUCUGGGUUUUAAUUUUCUGUCAGCUUCAUCUGGGAUAAAAAAAUAUGACAUCCAAGGAUCCUCCAUGAAGAGCCACCAAGAAAGUCUUCACCUACAGAGCUUCCUUCUACACCCUCAUGGAAGGAUUCCCUGUGCUCCUAGUAGCACCCACCACUAAACUCAAGCCUACCACCAUCCAGAAAGGACUCGCCCAGUGGGACCAGCUGGAGCUCCACCCCAUCCCCCAUCCCCGGCCUAGAUCCAGCCUCUGAGCCUCCAUUUCAUUCUCAGCUCUUCUGAGGCAUUCCAGGGGUGACUGGAUGCCCAAGAGCCUGAGAACCAGAUGGCUCCGGCGUCUUUGCAGACUUGGGACCUGACCUGAGAGCCAGCUCGGGCUGUUUCCAGUACUCAGACUAUGCUUCCCCACCCCAGAGGGGUGUCCCACAGCUUUCCACAGCUCAACACCGGCCUGGUGACAGCAUGGAGUAGUGUGAUCAAACUUCCUGCAUCCAGCCUUCCAGAGACUAAUCCUACAGCAUCUCAGUUGUUUGAUUUUCAUUUCCCUGAUGAUUAAGCAUGUUGAACAUUUCUUUAAGUGCUUCUUGGAUAUUCAAGAUUACUCAGUUGAAAAUUUUCUGUUUAAUUUUGUAACAUUUUUUUAAAUUCGAUUAUUUGUUGUUUUGGUGUCUAACCUUUUGAUUCUUUAUAUAUAUUUGAUAUUAGCCCUUUGUCAGAUAGCGAUUUGGUGAAGAUCUUUUCUCAUGUUUAGGCUACUGUUUUGUCUUCUUUAGAGUAUCUAUUGCCUUACAGAAGCUUUCAGUUUUAUGAAGUUAUGAUUAUCAACUAUCAAUGUUAGAGCCCUAGCCAUUGUUCUCUUCAAUAAAAUUUCUCCUAUGCCAAUGUGUUGAAGGAUUUUCUCACUUUUUUCUAUUAAAUUCAGCAUGCUUAGCUGCAUGUAGAAUUCCUAGAUCCACUUGGACAUUAGCUUUGUGGAGGAUAAUAAAUAUGAUUUAUUUAUUUAUGAGUUUUUCUAUAUGCAGACUCAAAAGGACAUGAAUAUGUUAUCACUGAUAAGUGGAUAUUAGACAAAAAACUACAGAAUACAUAUUAUACACCAAACAGUGCCAAAGAAGUUAAACAAAAAAGAAGAUUCAAGUGAGGACGCUUGAAUCCCACAUAAAAAGGGAAACAAAAUAGUCUGGUAGGCAGAGGAAGUCAGGAACCUGGGUGUGAAGGGAAAUGUAGGGACAGGAUCAGGUAUUUGGAGAGAGGCCCAGAGAAGGAAUGAAAGAAAUGAAUGAAAAUAUGCAGCUUAUGGGGAUAGGAGUACUAUCUGGAAAGUCACAGAAACAUGGGUUGGGGGAGACUUCAAUUAGUCAAUGUGAGUAACCAUAUCCAAAAUGCACAAGAGUUGGGAUAUGGAACUUGGAGAGAUCACCACCAGCAGCCAAAUAAGACCCCUAAUAGAGGGAUGGAACAGCAACCCACCUACAAAACUUUAAACUCAAAAUUGGUUCUGUUUUACAAAAAAGGUAUGGAUAGGGAUGACGUAAUGAAGACUGGAAGAAUGACCAAACAGUGACUGGCCCAACUUGAGACUCAUCUCAGGGACAUGUCUCAUUGAUCCCAUUGGUCCCACGGUACCAAUCCUUGAUUCUGUAAGUGAUAAUAUGUUGUGCUUGUAGACAUAGCACAUCUGUCCUCUGAGAGCCUCUACCCUGCAGCUGACUGAGGCAGAUGAAGAUAUCCAGAACCAUACAUUGGAUGGAGGUUAGGGCACUUUAUAGAAGAGUUACACGACAGGAUUUAAGACCCUGGAGAUGAUGAUAACCCCAGAGAAAGACCAAUAUUGUCAACUAACCUGAUCACCUGGUAACUUCCAGAUUGUGAGCCACCAACAAAAGCAUACAUGGGUUGCUCAGAAACUGGGACACCUAUGUAACAGACAGCCAUUUUGUCUGGCCUCACUGAGAGAUGAUGUGCCUAAUCAUUUAGAGACUUGAUGCACCAGGGUGUGGGAAUACCCAGGGAAGGGCUGUAAGAUAAUGUCAUUAUGCAGCAGGCAGGUACAGGACAAACUAUCAUUGGAUGUGAAGGAAGGGUAGGCAGAGAAAGUCUAGGAAGGAGGAGGAAAGAGGAAGGGGUGGAAGAUGGAGACAGAGAAAGAGGAUGAUUCUGAUCUAG
ensembl:lncRNA